GUCCCUGGUGAGGAACGGAAGUUGCAGGGACUGCAUGUAAAAAUGUCCCAAGUACCCCUUCUCCUGCUGGGUUGCACCGUGCCUGGCGAUGGCCGCUGGGAACUCCAAGGCUGACACCCGCUAUGGGUGCUGGACGCCCUCCGUCGCCCCGGGCCGAGACCACCAGGCCUGCUUUGCCCCAGGUCCUGCUCAAAACGCUUAGGAAUCCAUCAGAAAACAAAACAGGGUUUCUGACUUCAUGAAGCUUCCAUUUUUGUGGGAGAAGACGGACAACAGAAGCUGUAUUUAUUAAACACUUACAUAACAUAGCACUGACUCCAUGGCAGGUGUUAUGCUACACAUUUUAUAAAUACAAAUUCAUUUGAUCCUCAUGAAAAUUCUGAGUUAGGUAUUGUUCAUAUAAAUAAGGAAACCAAGGCAAAGGGGUUAAAUAAUCCACCCAAAGCC
rnacentral:lncRNA from 1 species